AACACGGCCUAUACGGCGUGGAUAUAAUUUUGUUAUUGUUUUCUCCACACUAUGGUUACGACAAUAGAUAUAAAUUAAACAGCGUAUCGGGUGUAUUCAGAAGGAGUUUGCGCGGAUCAGACAUAACAACAUGAAGGCUGUAACACUGAUAGUUGGCGUUACUCUCUUAAUGUGUUUACUGGACUCGGUACAAGGAGUGAGUACUCCGUCCAAUGGCAGUGCUUUGACAACCGCAGCCCCAAGUACCGGACUGGUAGCAACUACUGCUGCAAACGGGACACAAGGCGGAAACAGCGGCUCACAGAGGUUUUCGUUCACACCGUUUUCCGUCUUUAUCAUGGCCGUUUUUUUCGCCACUGCAAAUAUUGCUUUGGCUUAAGUGGGUGGCAUUCCAGCCGAGCGUAUGACUGACGACCAUUGAUCGCUUGGAGAAACUUAAACAAACGAGAUUUUUUUUCUCGACUUAUUUUCUGUUUUCAGACUUCGGGUGGUGCAUUUACAAUUAUAGUGUGUGAUAUGCAUAGGCCGUGUUCAUGCAUUGUUUACCGUGCGAUAUAUAACAUGGCAUGCAAUGACGAAAACAUGUUGUUCGAAUGCCAGUGUUAUUAUAACGCGUACUGUGCUUGCUUCCAUGUAUCUGCUUGUUUCUCAGAAGAACUGCGUUACAUUUGCUGACUUUAAUUAUACAAAAAUGAAAGAAUAUCCACUACAACUGUU